AACUUAAAGGAAUUGACGGGACCCGCACAAGCGGUGGAGUAUGUGGUUUAAUUCGACGCAACGCGAAGAACCUUACCAGGGCUUGACAUCCCCUGGCCGCGUAUGAAAGUACGUUUUCACCCUCGGGUGACAGGGAGACAGGUGGUGCAUGGUUGUCGUCAGCUCGUGUCGUGAGAUGUUGGGUUAAGUCCCGCAACGAGCGCAACCCCUACGUUUAGUUGCUAACGCGUGAAGGCGAGCACUCUAGACGAACUGCCGUUGACAAAACGGAGGAAGGUGGGAUGACGUCAAAUCAUCAUGCCCCUUAUGUUCUGGGCUACACACGUGCUACAAUGGCCGGUACAGACGGACGCAAAGCCGCGAGGUGGAGCAAAUCCUAAAAAGCCGGUCUCAGUUCGGAUUGCAGGCUGCAAUUCGCCUGCAUGAAGUCGGAAUCGCUAGUAAUCGCAGGUCAGCAUACUGCGGUCGAAUACGUUCCCGGGCCUU
rnacentral:rRNA from 1 species